UGUAAUAUAUCGAUUCUACCUAAGACGCAGGUGUCGUAAGACAUAAAUCCCGCCGAGGAAGUGAAAAACGCGCAAGCGACUUUUGACCCCCGGUGACUUUUGUCUACCGGGGGUUUUGGUUAGAAUCA
rfam:Weissella ceti strain WS74, complete genome.